rnacentral:rRNA from 1 species
GACGAACGCUAGCGGCAGGCUUAACACAUGCAAGUCGAGGGAGAAACUCAUUUCGGUGAGCGGAAACCGGCGCACGGGUGCGUAACACGUAUACAACUUACCCUCGAGAGGGGAAUAGCCCAGGGAAACUUGGAUUAAUGCCCCAUGGUUUUAGCGAGUCGCAUGGCUUGCUGAAUAAAUGAAUUUCGCUCGGGGAUGGGUAUGCGUCUGAUUAGCUAGUUGGUGAGGUAACGGCUCACCAAGGCUUCGAUCAGUAGCUGGUCUGAGAGGAUGAUCAGCCACACGGGAACUGAGACACGGUCCCGACUCCUACGGGAGGCAGCAGUGAGGAAUAUUGGACAAUGGGGGCAACCCUGAUCCAGCCAUGCCGCGUGGAGGAAGACGGCCUUUGGGUUGUAAACUCCUUUUAUAUGAGACUAAUAAGGUGGUAUACUCACCGAUGCAGGUACCAUAUGAAUAAGCACCGGCUAACUACG